rnacentral:snoRNA from 1 species
GUUGAAGUCUACCCCAGUGGGGCUCUUACUGUGGCCAAAGAUCACUAGAAACUUCUCAUAGCGUAGCUCUGUGAUUUUGCCUAACUCACAAGACUGCUAAAUCUGUGGGAAGAAACUAUAAGACAGUU